UGCCGCGGUGAAUACGUUCCCGGGUCUUGUACACACCGCCCGUCAAACCAUGAAAGUGACCAACACCCGAAGUCCGAUUCGUCGGCCUAAGGUGGGGGGCAUGAUUGGGGUU
rnacentral:rRNA from 1 species